ensembl:lncRNA
AUGGUACGACAACGUUUCCACAUGCCCCUGGUACACUGGGCAGAAACACUUUGCCACACACACUCCUCCUGCAUAUGGUACGACAACGUUUCCACAUGCCCCUGGUACACUGGGCAGAAACACUUUGCCACACACACUCCUCCUGCAUAUGGUACGACAACUUUUCUACAUGCCCCUGGUACACUGCCCCGAUAUCUCCCUGAAACACGCUCCCCUCGUGCAUAUGGUACGACAACGUUUCCACAUGCCCCUGGUACACUGGGCAGAAACACUUUGCCACACACACUCCUCCUGCAUAUGGUACGACAACGUUUCCACAUGCCCCUGGUACACUGCCCCGAUAUCUCCCUGAAACACGCUCCCCUCGUGCAUAUGGUACGACAACGUUUCCACAUGCCCCUGGUACACUGGGCAGAAACACUUUGCCACACACACUCCUCCUGCAUAUGGUACGACAACGUUUCCACAUGCCCCUGGUACACUGGGCAGAAACACUUUGCCACACACACUCCUCCUGCAUAUGGUACGACAACUUUUCUACAUGCCCCUGGUACACUGCCCCGAUAUCUCCCUGAAACACGCUCCCCUCGUGCAUAUGGUACGACAACGUUUCCACAUGCCCCUGGUACACUGGGCAGAAACACUUUGCCACACACACUCCUCCUGCAUAUGGUACGACAACGUUUCCACAUGCCCCUGGUACACUGCCCCGAUAUCUCCCUGAAACACGCUCCCCUCGUGCAUAUGGUACGACAACGUUUCCACAUGCCCCUGGUACACUGGGCAGAAACACUUUGCCACACACACUCCUCCUGCAUAUGGUACGACAACGUUUCCACAUGCCCCUGGUACACUGGGCAGAAACACUUUGCCACACACACUCCUCCUGCAUAUGGUACGACAACGUUUCCACAUGCCCCUGGUACACUGCCCCGAUAUCUCCCUGAAACACGCUCCCCUCGUGCCUAUGGUACGACAACAUUUAUCCAUGCCCCUGGUACACUGCCCAGCAGCACUUUGCUAAGUACUCCCCCCGUGCAUAUGGUAUGA